rnacentral:rRNA from 1 species
CAGCAGUCAAGAAUAUUAGUCAAUGCUCGAAAGAGUGGAACUAAGCUAACUGAAAUCAAUAAAAAUUGAUAACAUAAGGGAAAAUAAUGAUAUUACCUUAUUAUUAGUGUCGUCCAAAACUGGUGCCAGAAGACUCGGUAAGGCCAGAGACACAAACGUUAAUCGUCUUAAUCAGGCGUAAAGGGUUUGUAGGCGGCUUUAAUUUACUUAUAAAAAUUUUUUAAUUUUAAAAUAAGUUAAGAAUAAAAGCUAGAAUCAAAUAGAGGAUAUAUUAAAUAAUGCUUAGAGUAGGUCUGAUAUCCAUAGAUACUAAGUAGAAUAUUAAAGGCGAAAGCUUUUUUCCAUAAAUGAUUGACGCUCAGAAACGAAGGUGAGGAUAGGAAAUAGGAUUAGAUACCCAAAAUACCCCUCUCUGUCAACGAUGAAUGGUAAUUAUUAAUAAUAAAUUAUUAAUGAUAAUGUUAACACGAUAACCAUUCCGCCUUGUGAGUACAACUGCAAAGUUGAAAACAAAAAAAUUAGUCGGUUUCGGAGCCAAAAACGAAGUGAAGCAUGUUAUUUAAUUCGAUAAUCCGC